rnacentral:rRNA from 1 species
UACGGAGGUGGCAAGCGUUGUCCGGAUUUAUUGGGCGUAAAGAGCGUGUAGGCGGCCAUACAGGUCCGUUGUGAAAACUGGAGGCUUAACCUCCAGACGUCGAUGGAAACCGUAUGGCUAGAGUCCGGAAGAGGAGAGUGGAAUUCCUGGUGUAGCGGUGAAAUGCGCAGAUAUCAGGAAGAACACCCGUGGCGAAGGCGGCUCUCUGGGACGGUACUGACGCUGAGACGCGAAAGCGUGGGGAGCGAACAGG